rnacentral:rRNA from 1 species
GCGAAGGAUGUCUUGGUUCCGGCAACGAUGAAGAACGCAGCGAAAUGCGAUACGUAAUGCGAAUUGCAGAAUUCAGUGAAUCAUCAAAUUUUUGAACGCAAAUUGCGCUCAAGCUUGCUUGAGCAUGCCUCCUUCAGUGUC